AUACGGAGGAUCCGAGCGUUAUCCGGAUUUAUUGGGUUUAAAGGGUGCGCAGGCGGCCAUUUAAGUCAGCGGUUAAAUCGUGGGGCUCAACCCCAUUCUGCCGUUGAUACUGGGUGGCUUGAUUGCGGUCGAGGUUGGCGGAAUUCGUUGUGUAGCGGUGAAAUGCAUAGAUAUGACGAAGAACACCGAUUGCGUAGGCAGCUGACCAGACCGCAAAUGACGCUCAUGCACGAAAGUGCGGGGAUCGAACAGGAUUAGAUACCCUGGUAGUCCGCACAGUAAACGAUGAAUACUUGUUUUCGGCGAUAUAACGUCGGAGGCAAAGCGAAAGCGAUAAGUAUUCCACCUGGGGAGUACGCCGGCAACGGUGAAACUCAAAGGAAUUGACGGGG
rnacentral:rRNA from 1 species